CGCCUGUUUAACAAAAACAUGUCCUUGUGUUUAGGAUGCAAGGUCUAGUCUGCCCAAUGAUUUUUUAAAUGGCCGCGGUAUUUUAACCGUGCAAAGGUAGCAUAAUCAUUAGUUUUUUAAUUGAUAACUGGAAUGAAUGGCUGGACAAGAGAAGUACUGUCUCUGAAUUAUUUUUAGAAUUUUAUUUUUAAGUUAAAAAGCUUAAAUUUUAUUGGAAGACGAGAAGACCCUAUAGAGUUUUACUUUAAAUUAUCUAUUUUAUUUAUGGAAAUUUAUUUUUAAUUUGUUAUUUAUAGUUUUGUUGGGGUGACAGGGAAAUUUGUAAAACUUUCUUGAUUUUAUUUAUUUAUUUAUAUUUAUAUGAUCCAUUUUUUAUGAUUUUUAGAUUUAAUUACCUUAGGGAUAACAGCGUUAUUUUCCUUUAGAGUUCUAAUCGAUGGGGAAGAUUGCGACCUCGAUGUUGGAUUAA
rnacentral:rRNA from 1 species